rnacentral:rRNA from 1 species
AUUGAACGCUGGCGGCAGGCCUAACACAUGCAAGUCGAGCGGAGCGGCGGACGGGUGAGUAAUGCCUGGGAAUCUGCCUGGUAGUGGGGGCUAACGUCCGGAAACGGGCGCUAAUACCGCAUACUAUCAGAUGAGCCUAGGUCGGAUUAGCUAGUUGGUGGGGUAAAGGCCUACCAAGGCGACGCUCCGUAACUGGUCUGAGAGGAUGAUCCGUCACACGGGAAAUGAGACACGGUCCAGACUCCUACGGGAGGCAGCAGGGGGGAAUAGUGGACAAUGGGCGAAAGCCUGAUCCAGCCAUGCCGAGUGUGUGAAGAAGGUCUUCGGAUUGGAAAGCACUUUAAGUUGGGAGGCGGUACCAACAGAAGAAGCACCGGCUAACUUCGUGCCAGCAGCCGCGGUAAUA